AUCACAACCUAAGAUAACGAAAAAGCAG
rnacentral:guide_RNA from 1 species